UGAUAGUUAUGAUAUCAUCAUGCUCAUUUGAGCGUGUACGAUUCCUGACUUUAGUUGUGUUAUCUGAACACCAAGACUGAAGUAAAUUAUAUCUGGUAUUAACAGGUGGCACAGAUAUUGCUCAAUGAAAAAUCUUCAACACGUCUCGGGGAAUGCCAAGUAUACCUGAUUCUAUUUCUUUCCUAGUUGAUGAAGGACAAUUGUCUCUACAUCCCAGCUCAGACUAUUUCCUGUAAAACGUGACACGUGAUAAUGCCGCUGUCAACAGAUUUGGUGUUUGGACUUGUGAGAAUGCAUCUUUUUAUAACUCUGGUGUGGAUAUUUACAAUUACAAAAGUUGAAAGUCAAGAUUGUUCAACAACAGAGUUAAAUGUGUACGGUGGCUAUCAGUAUCGCAUCUUCCAUGACGGACGGAUCUUCUCUCAAACACGGUCACAUUGUCAAAAUUUAGGAGGAGAUAUGGCAAUUAUCACAUCAGCCGAACAAAAUAGUUUCAUCGCCACGUUGUUGGAUAUAAAAGGUAAUUAUUUCAUUGGAUUAGAAGACAUGGAUAACGAUGGUACCUUCAACUGGAUUGAUGGGACAA